GUCAACCACCCCGCCCUGAAGGGCGGAGCUUGAAAGGAGGUUCGACAAGCUCGGGUUGACCAGGGAAAGCGGUACCCAACCCCCUACGUUGGCAACAGGUACAAGACCCACCCCGGGAUGCUUCCUCAGUCCCGGGCUCUGGAAGUUCCGGAUGCAGACAACCGCGAGGGCCAGGACGAAACGGUCCGGGACAAUACGCCGGUACGAAACAUUCCCGAGGGGAGAUGCUUCGCAAGAAG
rnacentral:sRNA from 1 species